rnacentral:rRNA from 1 species
GAUUCCGCUAGUAGUGGCGAGCGAACGCGGAAGAGGCCAAACCGGAGGUAGCAAUAUUUCCGGGGUUAGGACUGCAAUAUGUAACUUUAAUCUUUAACUGAAUGCUUUGGGAAGAGCAGCGAUACAGGGUGAUAGCCCCGUAAGUGAAAAGGAUUGAGUGCUAGCAGUAUCCAGAGUACCAGCGGACACGUGAAACCCGCUGGGAAGAUGGGGGGACCAUCCUCCAAGCCUAAAUACUACUCAGUGACCGAUAGUGGAGCAGUACCGUGAGGGAAAGGUGAAAAGUACCCCGGGAGGGGAGUGAAAAAGAACCUGAAACCUUGUGCCUACAAGCACCGAGAGUCCGUUAAAGGAUGAUCGGGUACUUUUUGUAGAACGGUCCGGCGAGUUAAUAUUUGCAGCGAGGUUAAGGAACUGGAGUUCCGGAGCCGCAGCGAGAGCGAGUCUGAAAAGGGCGUAUGAAGUUGCAGGUAUUAGACCCGAAACCGGGUGACCUAUCCAUGAGCAGGCUGAAGCGGUGGUAAGACACCGUGGAGGGCCGCACCCACGUCUGUUGAAAAAGCCGGGGAUGACUUGUGGAUAGCGGAGAAAUUCCAAUCGAACUCGGAGAUAGCUGGUUCUCCCCGAAAUAGCUUUAGGGCUAGCGUUAUUUUAGAUUACCGGAGGUAAAGCACUGAAUGGUCUAGGGGCCGCGAGGUUACCAAAGCCUAUCAAACUCUGAAUGCCGGAUAAUUGAUGAAUAGCAGUCAGACUGUGUGAGAUAAGUCUCAUAGUCAAAAGGGAAACAGCCCAGAUCUACAGCUAAGGUCCCAAAUGAACACUAAGUGGAAAAUGAUGUGAAACUGCGAAGACAACCAGGAUGUUGGCUUAGAAGCAGCCACUCAUUCAAAGAGUGCGUAAUAGCUCACUGGUCGAGUGGUUUUGCGCAGAAAAUGUAACGGGGCUAAGUGUUCAACCGAAGCUUAGGCAUUGCAGUAAUGCAUUGGGUAGGGGAGCGUCGUAUGCGGGGCGAAGUCAGAGCGGAAGCACUGGUGGACUGCAUACGAGUGAGAAUGCCGGAAUAAGUAGCGAGAAUUAUGUGAGAAUCAUAAUGGCCGAAAAUCUAAGGUUUCUUGGGGAAGGUUCGUCCGCCCAAGGUUAGUCGGGAGCUAAGCUCAGGCCGAAAGGCGUAGGCGAUGCACAUACGGUAGAAAUUCCGUAACCACCGAACAUUUAAGCUAGAGGGACGCUUUCAUUAAGUCUAUCCCGGGCGAUGGUUGCCCCGGGCGUAAGGGACCGAAAUUUAGUAGGGAAGUAGACGGCGUGAGAGACGAGAAAAGCUCUAGUGUAUACUAAGGUGCCCGUACCGCAAACCGACACAGGUAGAUGGGAUGAGUAUUCUAAGGCCAACGGGAGAAGGGUUGUUAAGGAACUCGGCAAAUUGGCCCCGUAACUUCGGGAUAAGGGGCGCCUGCGAGAGCAGGCCGCAGUGAAAAGGCCCAAGCGACUGUUUAGCAAAAACACAGCUCUCUGCUAAAUCGAAAGAUGACGUAUAGGGGGUGACGCCUGCCCGGUGCUGGAAGGUUAAGGGGAGUGCUUAGCGCAAGCGAAGGUGCGAACUUAAGCCCCAGUAAACGGCGGCCGUAACUAUAACGGUCCUAAGGUAGCGAAAUUCCUUGUCAGGUAAGUUCUGACCCGCACGAAUGGCGUAACGAUUUGGGCACUGUCUCAACAGCCCGCCCGGCGAAAUUGUAGUACCGGUGAAGAUGCCGGUUUCCCGCAACUAGACGGAAAGACCCCAUGGAGCUUCACUGUAGCUUGAUAUUGGAUCUCGGUAUUCCAUGUACAGGAUAGGUGGGAGGCUAGGAAGUAAGCGCGCCAGCGUUUAUGGAGCCAACCUUGGGAUACCACUCUUGGGAUAUUGGGAUUCUAACCUGCGACCAUGAAUCUGGUCGGGGGACACUGUCAGGUGGGCAGUUUGACUGGGGCGGUCGCCUCCAAAAGAG